GCGAUUUCAUCUACAGUGUUGGAUAAAUUGG
rfam:Brassica oleracea var. oleracea cultivar TO1000 chromosome C1, whole genome shotgun sequence